CAUUUCAGAGGAGGAACAUUGGCCAUGACCCAAAAGGACCACUAAAUCCUCAACUUUUUCUUGACACUUUUUCCACACUUAAACAGAGAUGGCUUCAGCUUGCUCCGGAUUGGGAUGGAGGAAGAAGAGAACGGCUGAAGAGAAAGGAGAUGAUAAAUAGCUGUGCCUCUCAUUUAGAGCCAUAAUAGCUUAUGCGUGCGAACACAUACGAAAUACAUUCAUUUCCUUUUCAUGUGCACACACGCAGUUAUGUGUUAUGUUGUUUAUAAAGUUUAAUUUUGUCUUUCUUUGGUUUAUAACGUUUUCAUUUAGUCCGUAUUCGGUUUCAUUUUUUCAAGUGUUAAGGUACUGUUCAUUUAAAGUCUAAAGGUUUCCGUUUUACAUAAAAAUAUGUUCAACACAAUGUGUUCACUUUAUUUUUAUUUGUAAAUAAAAAAUGUUUAUUGAAAAACAA